rnacentral:tRNA from 1 species
GGUCUCGUGGCGCAAUGGUAGCGCGUAGCUUUCCGGUUGCUUAAACACCAUUCUAGCUGAGGCUCUCGGUUCGAGUCCGGGCGGGAUCG